rnacentral:rRNA from 1 species
GAUGAAUGCUGGCGGCGUGCCUAAUACAUGCAAGUCGAGCGAACGGACGAGAAGCUUGCUUCUCUGAUGUUAGCGGCGGACGGGUGAGUAACACGUGGAUAACCUACCUAUAAGACUGGGAUAACUUCGGGAAACCGGAGCUAAUACCGGAUAAUAUUUUGAACCGCAUGGUUCAAAAGUGAAAGACGGUCUUGCUGUCACUUAUAGAUGGAUCCGCGCUGCAUUAGCUAGUUGUUAAGGUAAUGGCUUACCAAGGCAACGAUGCAUAGCCGACCUGAGAGGGUGAUCGGCCACACUGGAACUGAAACACGGUCCAGACUCCUAAGGGAGGCAGCAGUAGGGAAUCUUCGGCAAUGGGCGAAAGCCUGACGGAGCAACGCCGCGUGAGUGAUGAAGGUCUUCGGAUCGUAAAACUCUGUUAUUAGGGAAGAACAUAUGUGUAAGUAACUGUGCACAUCGUGACGGUACCUAAUCAGAAAGCCACGGCUAACUACGUG